UAAAACUGUUAACAAGAUUAAGAUCAUUUUGUUACAUAGUACUGAGUAAACUAAUGAAUAUGGUUAUGUUUUUGUCUGAAACACUGCUGGCUUUUAGUCUGUGUUUUCUAGACAUAAGGAAACCUUUCCCUUUAUAACAAUUUGGUAAGUUUUACCUCUGUAAGUGGAAUUAAAACAUUCAUCUUUUCUCUUGACCUGAUCCCUCCAGGAGUUGGAAACUCAGAGUCCCAACAGCUUUAUCAGCUGAAUAAGGAAGGUCACCUCCUGGCAGGAGCAGGAAUAUUGAGAUAUUUUAGGAACCUUGAGAAGGGAGGAAUUCUCUCAUAUCUACAGAUACUGCAGGCAAAAUCCGAUGGCAAGUUGUUGAUGAUUUUCCUGGCCUCAAGAGGUUUUUAAAAAGUUCAGUUGAUAUUCCUUAAGAAAAGGUCUAGCACAGCCAACUGAAAAGAGCCUAUACGACCAGUUACACUUAGGCCUUCUGUACUGGACUGGUCGAUAGAAAGGACUGCUGACCUCAACACCCGCAUGAGAAAAAGACAACAGCAGUGGUAGACAGCGACCCAAGAAUCUGGACCAGGAUAGAAAGGAAAUUCUCCAGUGAGGCUGAAUAACUACUCACGAUGUGUAUCACUGCUUGCUACUGAAAGGUCUGCAAACAAGGGAAGAUGAUGGAGGAAACUUUCACGUAUUGAGGUAUGGAGAAGUCAUUCUGGCUUAUAAGG